UACGUAGGGCGCAAGCGUUAUCCGGAAUUAUUGGGCGUAAAGAGCUCGUAGGCGGUUUGUCGCGUCUGCCGUGAAAGUCCGGGGCUCAACUCCGGAUCUGCGGUGGGUACGGGCAGACUAGAGUGAUGUAGGGGAGACUGGAAUUCCUGGUGUAGCGGUGAAAUGCGUAGAGAUCGGGAGGAACACCAGUGGCGAAGGCGGCCGGCUGGGGGUGACCUGACGCUGAGGCGCGAAAGCGUGGGGAGCGAACCGG
rnacentral:rRNA from 1 species